rnacentral:misc_RNA from 1 species
UUUCCGUAGGUGAACCUGCGGAAGGAUCAUUAUUGUAUAACCGAGGUGCGAGGGCUGUCGCUGACCCGAAAGGUCGUGCACGCCCGAGUGCCCUCACACACAUCCAUCUCACCCCUAUGUGCACCACCGCGUGGGUCCCCCUUUGGCUUGUUCGGAGGGGGGCUUACGUUUUCACACGAACUUUGUAUGCAGUGUAGAAUGUAUUUUUUGUUUUUGCGAUCACGCAAUCAAUACAACUUUCAACAAUGGAUCUCUUGGCUCUC